AUAAGGAUUGGGCAAGGAAGGUUAAUUUCCUUCACAGUGCCGCUACCGUAAAGUCGGAAAACCACCUUAUCUUAGGUUCCCGGGAUCAGGAAACUUUACAAAACUUCU
rnacentral:ncRNA from 27 species